AUGAUUAUCUUAGCCUGUAACUGCCGAGGAUUGGGGUUGGACUCGGCAGUGGGCGAGCUUCGGGACCUAGUACGGUCAUACAACCCAGAGGUGGUGUUUCUCUCGGAAACGAAGAAACGAGCGGGGGCGAUGGAGAGGUUAAAAUGGAGAUUGGGUUUCAACCAAGGCGUGGCGGUGGACUGUAAGGGCAAGAGCGGUGGAUUGGCACUGUGGUGGAGAGACCAUGUUGAUGUUACAGUGCGUCCUUGGUGCCAAUAUUACAUUGAUGCAAAGAUCGAGGCCAAUGGGAGUUCCUUUCGAUUCACUGAAAUAUAUGGGGAACCCUGUGUUGAGAAGAGAACAAAAACUUGGGAGGUGCUUCGGUAUCGAAGGACACAGGAUGAUCUUCCAUGGUUAUGCGCAGGAGAUUUCAAUGAAGCUUUGAGACAAAGUGAGCAACAAGGGGGUAAUCUGAGAAGUAUGAAUCAGAUGGCAAUGUUCGAGGAAUGCCUGGCCGACUGCGGCCUGGCUGACCUUGGCUUUUCGGGCUAUCCAUUCACAUGGGAUAACAAGAGACAGAUGGAGGAGAAUAUCCAAGUCCGUUUGGACCGGGCAACGUGUAAUGCUGAUCUUGCCCAAAUGUUCCGUCGCUAG
rnacentral:rRNA from 1 species